CUCCAGGCGGCACUAGCCGCCAUAAAUAUUGUAAAAAUAGAGUAG
rfam:Cryptosporidium ubiquitum isolate 39726 contig_20, whole genome shotgun sequence.